rnacentral:rRNA from 1 species
AGCCGGAAUUGCUAGUAAUGGCAGGUCAGCAUACUGCCGUGAAUACGUUCCCGGGCCUUGUACACACCGCCCGUCACACCAUGAGAGUUGGGGAUACCCGAAGCCUGUGAGCCAACUAUAUAGAGGCAGCAGUCGAAGGUAGAAUCAAUGAUUGGGGUGAAGUCGUAACAAGGUAGC